rnacentral:rRNA from 1 species
AGUGAACGCUGGCGGUAGGCCUAACACAUGCAAGUCGAACGGAAGCACAGUAAGAGCUUGCUCUUACGGGUGGCGAGUGGCGGACGGGUGAGGAAUACAUCGGAAUCUACUUUUUCGUGGGGGAUAACGUAGGGAAACUUACGCUAAUACCGCAUACGACCUACGGGUGAAAGCAGGGGAUCUUCGGACCUUGCGCGAUUGAAUGACCCGAUGUCGGAUUAGCUAGUUGGCGGGGUAAAGGCCCACCAAGGCGACGAUGCGUAGCUGGGCUGAGGGGAGGAACAGCGACACUGGAGGUGAAAGACGGUCCAGACUCCGACGGGAGGCAGCGGUGGGGAAGAUUGGACGAUGGGCGCAAGCCUGAUCCAGCCAUGCCGCGUGGGUGAAGAAGGCCUUCGGGUUGUAAAGCCCUUUUGUUGGUAAAGAAAAGCAGCAGGUUAAUACCCCGCUGUUCUGACGGUACCCAAAGAAUAAGCACCGGCUAACUUCGUG